CCUANGGGCGGCAGCAGUUAGGAAUCUUGCGCAAUGGGCGAAAGCCUGACGCAGCAACGCCGCGUGCGGGAUGACGGCCUUCGGGUUGUAAACCGCUUUCAGUGGGGACGAAAUCAGACGGUACCCACAGAAGAAGCCCCGGCCAACUACGUGCCAGCAGCCGCGGUAACACGUAGGGGGCGAGCGUUGUCCGGAUUUAUUGGGCGUAAAGAGCUCGUAGGCGGUUCGGUAAGUCGGGUGUGAAAACUCAAGGCUCAACCUUGAGACGCCACUCGAGACUGCUGUGACUAGAGUCCGGUAGGGGAGCGUGGAAUUCCUGGUGUAGCGGUGAAAUGCGCAGAUAUCAGGAGGAACACCAGCGGCGAAGGCGGCGCUCUGGGCCGGAACUGACGCUGAGGAGCGAAAGCGUGGGGAGCGAACAGGAUUAGAUACCCCGNUANUC
rnacentral:rRNA from 1 species